UAUCAUAAAAAAAAAAUUGGGACUAAACACUGCAAAUCAAAUAGUUUACCUGCACAAAUUGUCAUAGAUAAUAAUGAGUAUGACGAUGAUAAUAUAAUUUCAGAAAAAUUUAACAGUUUUUUUGUCAACAUAGGUCCAAAUCUAGCUUCAAAAAUCCACUGUCCAAACAACUAAAUUGAAACUUACUUAACUAGCGUCAACAGCGAACUAAUAUUUAAAGAACUAAAAAUUGAUGAACUCGAAAAUGCAAUAAACUCUAUUAAAAUAAACAAGUCUCUAGGUAGAUGACAUUAGCAGUAAUAUUGUUGCUAAUGUCUCUUCGCAGAUACGCAAACCUAUUUUUGAAAUAUUCAAAUCAUCAAUUAAAACUCGAACUGUACCAGAUAAAUUAAAAGUAGCUAAAAUUAUACCUAUUUUUGAAACCGGUGAAACAUUUCAAAUAAAUAAUUACAGACCAAUUUCAAUUCUUCCAAUUUUUUCUAAAAUACUUGAACGAAUAAUCUACAAUAGACUAUAUGAAUAUCUAAUUCAAAACAAACUCUUAGAUAAAAAACAAUUCGGUUUUCAAUCACAUCACUCGACAGAACAUGUAAUUUUAGGUAUAGUUAAUAGCAUAAGUAAUUCUUUUAAUAAAAAGCAAUUUGUAUUAGGAACAUUUAUAGACCUAUCCAAAGCAUUUGACACAAUUAAUCAUGAUAUCUUACUUAAAAAAAUGGAAAAAUACGGAAUAAAAAAUACUACCCUGAAUUGGUUUAAAAGUUAUUUAUGCAACAGACAACAAUGCGUUAUUUCGAACGAUAAUAAAUAUUCAAAUUCAAUAGAAAUUAAAUGCGGAGUUCCCCAAGGUUCCAUUCUUGGCCCUCUUAUUUUUAAUUUAUAUUAACGAUCUUCCACAAUCCCUAAAAAAACUUGAUGCAGUAAUGUUUGCUGAUAACACAAAUUUGUUUUAUUCAUCAGCAUCAAUUGAAAAUCUCUUUGAAUCUGUGAACGAUGGCCUUGAGAAUCUAAACACCUUGUUUAAAGUAAAUAAAUUAUCUUUAAAUACAGAAAAAACAAAAUACAUCUUGUUUCAUUCCAACCAUCAAAAAAGUAAUAUACCAAGAAUGCUACCAUUACUAAAAAUUGAUAACAUAAAUAUUGAAAGAACUAAAACCGUUAAAUUUCUUGGGAUAAUUAUUGACGAAACGAUUUCUUGGAAAGCCCAUAUAAAUACAAUAAAUACAAAAAUAUCAAAAAGUAUCGGCAUACUCUACAAAGUCAAACCUUUACUUUCCCAGAAAAAUCUUAAAAGUCUCUACUUUUCUUAUAUACAAAGUUAUUUAACAUAUGCUAAUAUUGCCUGGGGAAGUACAAAUAAAUCUAAACUAAAUUCUCUAUAUGUACACCAGAAACACGCAUCAAGAUUGAUUUAUAAUAAAAAUAAAUUCACUCAUGCCGAUCCUUUACUUAAAAAAGACAACCAAACUACACUACCAUCAUCAAUAUUAACGCCAGUGCUUACUAUAGCACUGCAAGUAGAGCAGUUAUCACCUGAUUUGGUCAAUUGUCAUGUUGGAGGAAAUGAUCAUCGAAAACUAAUAUUAUUAGAAGAGAUUAAACAAAUUAAUCAAACGAUAGUUUUUCUUCUGCAACAAUUAUCAGCACAACAGCAGCGUGGUAAUAUAGAAACAAGUUUUGAUGAGUUGGGCUUCCUGUUUCAUUAAUAGAACAUUUACAAAAACUAGAAACAGAUUGCCUUGACAAUGACCUCCGAGGAUAGUUUAUGCUGUUCGGCGUAAUCCAUGUCGCGGUACGGAUGCAAGGUUGCUUGUGCCAUUAAAGCAUGGCUUCGAUUCGCAAAAUUCGUGUGGAGGGAGGAGAAGAAACAUCAUUUUAACGAUUUUAGUUAUAUAGUUUUAUAUAUAGUUUAUGAUUUUUUUGUAUGUUUGUAAUAGUUUAAAUUAUUUUGUAACAAAUAAACAUUUAACUAGAAACCAACAAAUUUAUUAACUUUAAUACU